CUUUUUUGAAACCCGCUCGUGGCUGUCAAGGCGGCGCUUAGAGUUUCGCGGCGCCGCCGAAGAGGUCCACUCGAGGGAACAAUAGUGGCAAGGCAAGCGGGCACAAUGCACAAGAGGCCGAGAAGGGGCUCGAUUCGAGCUGGAGGGGGAGGGCAGGUAAGGAUCGUGCGUGGCCUUUAGAGGAGGCCGGGCGUCGCGUAGACCCCGUAAGUCGCCUUUCUCGCGAGGACCUGACCCCUCCGCUCCAGCGCCUAUUCGUGGUUAAACCCGCAGCCGCGAAGUCCUAUAUAACUCUACCGACCUUUUCCUGCGAUACAAGGCGGCGUCAUACAAGGCAAUAUACCAGAUCUGUGACUCCUCCUAUCACAAGGACUCCACCUCCUCUUGUAACGGUGCGCGGUUUCUAAUUCGGCCCUAGGAUGUGUUACCAGAAGUCCGUAAACACGAACAAAACUACUAGGUGUCUCGACAUACGAUGAAAGACUGGACACUGAGGAACUAAAUGUCUUCCUUUCUAUUUUCCAACAUAACCACGCUGAACGGGGACGAAAGAGAAACCUUUUUUACGUGUCAAGAACCCUAGACCUUGAGAGCGACCUAGUACGUGGUGUGUAACGUACGAAACCCCGGAAGACUGUUCAAAGACGACAGACACAUGACCCCCCGAACAUAAUCGUCAAGGUCCCAGACGACAACGAACAAUACGAACACCUAUGGCGGUUCGUGAUUCUUGCUUCAUGUUGGAAGGCCUUCGUGGUACGCCACUAAACUGCUGUGUGAAUAAGACGGUAGACACACGCUAUACGGUUCUCAUGUCCCUCUAGGCGCUCUCUUGUCUGUGACCGUGGAGAAGUCGAGGACUACAAUGGGGUGGAGGCCACGUCUGUUACCUACUGGAAACUAACUCAUCUACUGCGUUUGUAUAGGACUGAGCGUUUAAAAACCAACCGAACCGUACGGGAACGGACGUUCCCGAACACAAUAGCGCGUGACGAGGGUGUUGAUGCUACAGUCUGACAUAUGUCGACCACAUUUCUAUUGGAACAUUUGAUUACCUGUCGCGCUUUUCCACAUUGGACAACAACGUGCUAACAUCGAACAUUGUAAAAAAAGAAGUAUAUACAUCUUAACUUUACUUUUGUUUUAUUCACAAGAGG
rnacentral:rRNA from 1 species